rnacentral:rRNA from 1 species
AGUGAACGCUGGCGGUAGGCCUAACACAUGCAAGUCGAACGGCAGCACAGUAAGAGCUUGCUCUUACGGGUGGCGAGUGGCGGACGGGUGAGGAAUACAUCGGAAUCUACUUUUUCGUGGGGGAUAACGUAGGGAAACUUACGCUAAUACCGCAUACGACCUACGGGUGAAAGCAGGGGAUCUUCGGACCUUGCGCGAUCGAAUGAGCCGAUGUCGGAUUAGCUAGUUGGCGGGGUAAAGGCCCACCAAGGCGACGAUCCGUAGCUGGUCUGAGAGGAUGAUCAGCCACACUGGAACUGAGACACGGUCCAGACUCCUACGGGAGGCAGCAGUGGGGAAUAUUGGACAAUGGGCGCAAGCCUGAUCCAGCCAUACCGCGUGGGUGAAGAAGGCCUUCGGGUUGUAAAGCCCUUUUGUUGGGAAAGAAAAGCAGCAGGUUAAUACCCCGCUGUCCUGACGGUACCCAAAGAAUAAGCACCGGCUAACUUCGUG